UUAAUCUCAAAUAUUUAUUAGGGUCUAAUAAAUAAAGAAUCUCACCAAAAACUAAAUACCCAAACCACAACCACAUUCGCACGCCUCUCUCUCUCUCUCUCUCUCUCUCUCUCUCUCUCUCUCUCUCUCUCUUUCUCUCUCUCAAUUUUUGCCUUCUUCGUUGGGAGAAAAGCUUUGCUCCAGCUGAUGUCUUUGCUGAGUUGUCCAAAAUGAGUGUUUCUUCAAAUGGCCUCAACACCUUGGUUGUACUCUGCUCCCCUGUGGUCCCAUGUAUUAUGUUUGGUUGUUAGUUUUGGGUUUUUUGCCCACGGGUGGCUUUUAUGAAAGUUCAUUUUUCUGAUUUUGCUGUGGUUGCCAUCGGGAAGAAAGAGCAGCCCAACCUUUUUUAUUACUGUGAUUUCACCUAUGGAAGGUGAUCUGCUGUAGAAGAUUAUUUGAUGAGGAAGAUUUCAUUGGUCUACGUGCUAUUUGUGUAUGAAAAACAAAAAUUGUUUAUUCACAAGUUCAUUGCAAAGUCCAUCCAUUGAUUUUUUGCCUUUUUUUUCCUGAACACAGAGAAUGCCAUCUGAAAUCAUUUAAGUGGGCAUCUACAAUAUUUUACUAUCAUGAAACACCCAUAAACAAUGAAUUAAGAACAAUUUUGAAACACAUUAUGUAUCAAAUAGUAAGUAAACAUUCCUGAUACAAGAUAUCAUAAUCCAAAAAGCAUAGAUUCAUGUAAUUUGUCUAUGUAAUGCCACAUAUACGGAGAUAAUAAGACCAAUGAUCAUCAUUGCAACAAGAGCUUCCCCCUGAUGAACAUAAUAGACCAUUCCUGAUGCAAGACAACAUCAAAGAUACACACACACACACACACACACACAAAACAUUUUAUUUGUCUAAUGAGCAUAAAUUAAAGUAAAAGAAAAGAAAAUUGAUCACAACUUUAUAAAAUUAUAAAAUAAAAAUAAAAAAAACUCCCCAUUAACAAUAUCUUGGUCAUCACUCUCCAUAUCUUGGCACAAGUCUUCUAACUCUUCAUUACCUAAAUUUAGAUUCAUAAUAAUCAAAUUAAACAUAAGAUUUUGACCUUACUAUUAGAAAUAUAAAAAAAACUAAAAAACAA